rnacentral:tRNA from 1 species
GGCUCAAUGGUCUAGUAGUAUGAUACUCGCUUCGGGUGCAAGCCCAUUACGUGUAAAUCGCGUAAUUCGGUGUGAGUGGUCUCGGGUUCAAUUCCCGAUUGAGCCC